AGGUCAGGCUAGCUCUCCCUGGCCGGCCCUCCGCGCCCGGGGCCCUCGGCCUCCCCCGCGCCGUCCCCGGGCCGCGUGCGUACCUGCGCCGGGGCCUCCCUCCCCGGCUCCGCACGCGGGAGGCGCGGGCACCGGCGGCCGGCGGGCCAGGGCAGGGGCGCGUCCUCCCCGCGCGCCCGCCCGCCUCCCCGCCCCGGCGCCCGCCCGCCGGUGUCUCCGCUGCGGCGCAGCCCAGGCGGGCGCGGGCGCGGGCCCGGCUGCCACCGCCUCGCCCUCCCCGGCUCCCGCCCCCUCCCCGGCCCGGCCCGGCCCGGAGCCGCUGCCGAGGCGCACGUACCUGCUCGCGCCGCGCGGGGCUCUACGGCGGCGGCCGCUGGAGGCUCCGGGGAGGGAGGGGCAGGGGCGGGGGCCGGGGAGCUCCGAGAGCCGCCGAUCCAGCUCCGCCCGCGGCCGGCGCGGGCGCCCGGAGAGUUAGCGCGGGGAGGGACCGGGAGGCGGGUAGCAGGCUGGGUGUCGGGCCGACGGGGGACCAGGCUCCAGCCCCCUCCCUGUCCCCGGAGGGCUUAUCUGUUCCGCCGGCGCCCGGGCUCGGGGAAUCGAAGCUUGGAGCCCGCGGGGACGGGUGCAGGGGCGGGGCGCGGGGGUGGGUGCUGGGGGAGACCCCUCCCCCGCCGCCUGCCUCUCCCCCCCACUCCCCCGCCCCCGCCCACGCCCACGCCGGGGAGCCCCUACCUCGCGGAGCCCCUUUGCUCCCUCCGCCCCCGCCCCCCUCCCACACGCACAGCCCCCAGGUGGGACCCGGGUCCUCUCCUGGGUCCUCAGGUCGGGACAGUCUUCCCAGGCGCGUGCGGCUCCGUGGCUCAAGGGCGCCACCUGAAGGCUGAAAGGAAGCUUCCGACGAACCUCCCGCCUCCCCUUUCCCUGUUCUUUCUCUGUGGGACAGCGGGGUGCACAGUCCAAGCAUUUAUCUACUCUGGACCGUCAACAAGCCAGGUCACUGCAGCGCCCGCUUGCUCGCUGGCUCGCUCACUCGCAGGCCAAAGCUUGUUCUCACCCUCCAAGCAGUGAGAGCCACUGAUCCGUGUGAGUAAAGGGUUAACAAAACCUUUUCCUCUUUUGCAGGAGAAUUUGACCUUUGGUUAACUAUCUAGCUCUGUUUCCUUGGAAACAGAUAAACAUAUGUCCACUAUGUUACUAGGCAACAUUGCUGUGAUAAAAAUGACCCCUGAGGAAGAGGCUGGAACGAUCCAUGUGGUAAUUGAUUAGAAUUGGAGCUAUCAGGAGGAAUUCCUGUUUAGCUUAACUUAGAUGCAGAAGAUUACAUGUAGAAAUGCUUAUAAAUAUGCGUAUGCACCCAGGUAGGUAAACAGGUGCCUAGACAGUGAUAGCGCACAGCAGUGAGCACAUGUGGUCCCCAGAUUUGGUCUCCAAUACCGUUCACCAACAUAAGGAACCAGGGAGAGACAGCUGAUUCUGGGACUGGAACAGGACAUAGGCAAGAUGAGCAUGGGGUGCGUUAGAGUGCCAGGAAGUAAGGAAGUUCUUCAAUACAAAAAACACGCAAUACAUAAACACACACACACACACACACACACACACACACACAUCGAUGGGGUGUGUCAAAGGAUACAGGGAGCAGCUGAAAGAGCUUUCAAAAGCUGGACAAUUUUGAACAAAUAAAAUAAGGCAGUACUGGAUUAUAAACCUGAAG
ensembl:lncRNA